UAGGGAAUCUUCCGCAAUGGACGCAAGUCUGACGGAGCAACGCCGCGUGAGUGAAGAAGGAUUUCGGUUCGUAAAACUCUGUUGUUAGAGAAGAACAGCGCAUAGAGUAACUGUUAUGCGUGUGACGGUAUCUAACCAGAAAGCCACGGCUAACUACGUGCCAGCAGCCGCGGUAAUACGUAGGUGGCAAGCGUUGUCCGGAUUUAUUGGGCGUAAAGCGAGCGCAGGCGGUCAAUUAAGUCUGAUGUGAAAGCCCCCGGCUCAACCGGGGAGGGUCAAUGGAAACUGGUUGACUUGAGUGCAGAAGAGGAGAGUGGAAUUCCAUGUGUAGCGGUGAAAUGCGUAGAUAUAUGGAGGAACACCAGUGGCGAAAGCGGCUCUCUGGUAUGUAACUGACGCGGAGGCUCGAAAGCGUGGGGAGCGAACAGG
rnacentral:rRNA from 1 species